GUUUCAGCCUCGAUCCGCCGAAUGUCUACAGACACGUCGAGCCGGAUAUACCGGUCAUCAUCGCUUUCUGGCACGGCCAGCAUCUCAUGAUGCCGUUCCUGAAACUCAAGCGGUAUUCCGCCAGGGUUCUGAUCUCGCGCCAUCGUGACGGUGAGAUCAAUGCGAUCGCGGCGGAACGCCUCAAUGUCGGGACUGUGCGCGGCUCCGGCGAUCAUGGAACGGCAUUUCACCGCAAGGGCGGCGUCGGCGCGUUCAAGAUG
rnacentral:misc_RNA from 1 species